rnacentral:lncRNA from 1 species
AUAAAUCAAAGCAACAUUAAUAAAUUAAAAGUCCAAGUCUUUUUACAAAAAUAAAGGCUAACUAUUAAGCCCAAAUUGCCUAGCCCGGUUGUUAAGAGUAACCCAAUUAACAAAACAAAUUCUAGCCCAUUUGAAACACGGCCCAAUCACAAGACUGGCCCAAAUGUCUGAAGUCUGGUUUCAGAGGCCGAAAACCUAGUCAUUCGCCUUGCACCGCAGCUAGCAGUCGGUCUCCAGCACCACAUGUGUGCCACUAGUUCCUCGCGCGCGCCUUCGCUCGUGUCUUUGUACGACUACUCCUGCAAUGGAACACAUGAGAAGAAGGAGCUAACCGAAUUUACAGCAAAUGGCAGCAAGAAAAUGUAAUUUUAUUUUUUAUUUACUCUGUAAAUCCGACUACAAAAAGCCGUCGAAUGUACCUGCAAAUACUUACGCGCAGUAAAUAUCAGAAAAAGCAUUUCGAAAGGAAAUUUUUAAAGGUGAUUUUCUGCUUUCUAGUUUCUUUAGUUCUUCGUCGAAUCAUCUCAUUUUCUUUUUCGAUUUUUCACUAUUGUAUUUAAAAAAUAAAAGAGAAAGAGAAAGGCGAGGUCUUCCCUUGCGAAUCUGCCAUAGAUUCCUCUUGGCUUUGUUGAAAUUGAAGUUGAAAGAGGAAUCACAAGGCAUCAAAUCAUCUUUUCAAGAGUACGCCGUUCGCUGAUUGUAGUGGCCGAUCGGUGUUGGAGCGAAGGGGAAGUUAGGGUUCGGCUGCAAAGUGAAAGGGAAAGGGAUUUGGUUUUCUUAUUUUUGUUUCUAAAUGGUUGAGUGUGUUAAUUUUAGGUUUUUUAGUGUUAAUUAGGUGUAUAAAACGACACCGUUUAGGGCCUAUGCCAAUGGCCCCAAAAUGAAGCCGGUUUAAGCCGACCCGCAUCGAUCCGACCCGAUCGCCCCUAGGAUCCGUGCGUUUCUGCGAAGAGGAGAUAAUUGCACAUAGGUCCUCCCCUUUCGCACAAGUCUGUAAUUGCGCCAUAUGCAUUUUGUUUCGUUUUUUUAAAUUUGGUUUUGUAAUUUGUGCUUAUUUGCGAUUGGGUCCACGCCUCAACAAAGUGUUUUGGGUUCUGGAGUAAAUCCAGCUUUAGUCUCUGUGCAUUUGCGUACAUUGCGC